rnacentral:rRNA from 1 species
UACGGAAGGCAGCAGUGGGGAAUAUUGCACAAUGGGCGCAAGCCUGAUGCAGCCAUGCCGCGUGUAUGAAGAAGGCCUUCGGGUUGUAAAGUACUUUCAGUCGUGAGGAAGGUGUUAAGGUUAAUAACCUUAGCAAUUGACGUUAGCGACAGAAGAAGCACCGGCUAACUCCGUGCCAGCAGCCGCGGUAAUACGGAGGGUGCGAGCGUUAAUCGGAAUUACUGGGCGUAAAGGGCACGCAGGCGGUUAAUUAAGUUGGAUGUGAAAUCCCCGGGCUUAACCUGGGAAUGGCAUUCAAGACUGGUUAGCUAGAGUCUUGUAGAGGGGGUAGAAUUCCAUGUGUAGCGGUGAAAUGCGUAGAGAUGUGAGGAAUACCGGUGGCGAAGCGGCCCCUGGGACAAGACUGACGCUCAUGUGCGAAAGCUGGGGAGCAAACAGGAUUAGAUACC